rnacentral:lncRNA from 1 species
ACAGCUGAAUGGAAUUUGGAUUUAGUUGUUACCAUUGUUCUAAUGAGUCGUACCUUGGGGUGGGUGUUAGUAUAUCUGUCUUUAUUACAUUUGAUGCUUGAAGCUGCAAACCAAUCUUAGUCCUUAUGUGCACCUCAGUAGGAGUAUGGUAAGGAAGUUCGUUCGACUCUUUGUUAAGAGAUACUAUAGCCAGCCACGAGUUGAGUUAGGUUAUUUUGGAGAUCGACCUAAGCCCCUAAUAACACUUUUUCUUUGAGCUGUAAGAUAUACUACGGUUGGUGGAGCAUAUCAAAGUCCCAUGUAUAUUCCGUUGAAUCAGAGUUCUAGCAGCGCAGAAAGGAAUUGAGUAUCAG